UAUUUCAUGUCUUCGGUUUCA
ensembl:piRNA 21ur-3260 ncRNA